rnacentral:rRNA from 1 species
UACGAAGGGGGCUAGCGUUGCUCGGAAUUACUGGGCGUAAAGGGAGCGUAGGCGGACAUUUAAGUCAGGGGUGAAAUCCCAGAGCUCAACUCUGGAACUGCCUCUGAUACUGGGUGUCUUGAGUGUGAGAGAGGUAUGUGGAACUCCGAGUGUAGAGGUGAAAUUCGUAGAUAUUCGGAAGAACACCAGUGGCGAAGGCGACUUACUGGACACAUAUUGACGCUGAGGUGCGAAAGCGUGGGGAGCAAACAGG